GGGUCUGUAGCCUAGUUGGUAAAGGAAGCAUUCUGGUAUGCGACUCAGCAUUGCUGAGGUUGUGAGUUCAAAUAUCACCAGACACA
rnacentral:tRNA from 1 species